UUGAACGCUGGCGGCAUGCUUUACACAUGCAAGUCGAACGGCAGCGGGGGCUUCGGCCUGCCGGCGAGUGGCGAGCGGGUGAGUAAUGCAUCGGAACGUACCCAGUCGUGGGGGAUAACUAUCCGAAAGGAUAGCUAAUACCGCAUACGUCCUGAGGGAGAAAGCAGGGGAUCGCAAGACCUUGCGCGAUUAGAGCGGCCGAUGUCGGAUUAGCUAGUUGGUGGGGUAAAGGCCUACCAAGGCAACGAUCCGUAGCUGGUCUGAGAGGAUGAUCAGCCACACUGGGACUGAGACACGGCCCAGACUCCUACGGGAGGCAGCAGUGGGGAAUUUUGGACAAUGGGCGCAAGCCUGAUCCAGCCAUUCCGCGUGAGUGAAGAAGGCCUUCGGGUUGUAAAGCUCUUUCGGCAGGGAAGAAACGGUGGGCUCUAACAUAGCCUGCUAAUGACGGUACCUGAAGAAGAAGCACCGGCUAACUACGU
rnacentral:rRNA from 1 species